rnacentral:lncRNA from 1 species
GCAAAGCGAGCGAAGGAGAGAGCAUGGCGGGUCUUGCCGACGACUUGGAGAAUUGCGUUCUCCAGCUCAUGUAAACCGUCAGAAACGACUUGUCUGAUCGGAUUCUCAUCGGCAAAGGUCGCCGGUCCGGCGAGUGCGGAGGCGAAAAGGCCACCGGCGACGACGAGAGCCAAUAGGAGUGAGAAACGAGACAUUAUAAUCUCCUCUCAGAGAAUGUGGGGAAGGGAAUUAUACGGAUUGGAUGAUUG